UGCCUGGCGGCCGUAGCGCGGUGGUCCCACCUGACCCCAUGCCGAACUCAGAAGUGAAACGCCGUAGCGCCGAUGGUAGUGUGGGGUUUCCCCAUGCGAGAGUAGGGAACUGCCAGGCAU
rnacentral:rRNA from 1 species